rnacentral:tRNA from 1 species
UGCUGGAUUAGCUCAGAAGGUAGAGCGCCUCACUUGUAAUGAGGAUGUCGCGGGUUCGAAUCCUGCAUCCAGCACCAG